UUAAGAAUAAUUAAAAAAAUAAUGAAGUUACCACUUAAAAGUUCCCUUCCUUAUCCUUCAGCUCUCAUGUUUCUACUGCCACAGUUAUUUAGACAUGUAAGACAGAUCAUGAGGAGAUGAAGACACAUGCAGAGAAAUCAAGGGAUACUGAUCACCUGAAUUGUGGAAGUAACUGUUUUGAACUAAAAUUAGAGCUGCUUUUCUCUUUGGGUUCAGGAUUCGAGUAACCUUAUCUGAAAUCAUAACGCUUAUGUAAACUCUCCCCAUUCCCCUUCCCCCUCACCUUCUACCUUUGGAUUUCCAUGUGAUGGUGCAGCCUGAUGAAGAUUCUCAGGUUUGAUUUUCAGCCAGGUAAGUUCAUCUGGAAAUCUGAAGGUUGCUGCUUACCCCAGCUGCCAGGCCUUUGUGGGACUUGCCCAGCCAUCUGCAAUUCAUUGGCUGCUCUUCUGCUGACAUACACAAAGACAGCAUGGGCAGAAAGUCCAACUACGUGUUUACCUUCAAACAGAUGGUUGGACCUGACUUCUGAUGAGCUCCUGUUGGCUCUGGUAGGGCCUGGCCAGCUCUGGGUGCUGGCCCUCAGCUCAGCUGUCUCCAGCAUGGGACUAGGGUGCUUAGCACCCAGAAUGGAGGAGGAGAAAGAAGACUUGAAAUAGUUGUGAUCUUUGGCUCCCAGCCAAUGAAGCUUGGCUAUCUCUAGAGGAGGGGAAGUUUGAAUAAAUUAUCCAAGUUACUGAAGAGAUUAUUACUCCCUCUGGGCCUUCUCUGGGGAAGGUGAUGAUGGGAGAGCACGGGAAAGGAAGCAGUUGAAGUCUGUUAGAGAGGAGGCUUGUGCUCAGCAUUGAGCCAUCCUAAAAAAAACAUCCCAUGCAAAGUGUGUGAAGUGAAAGCACCCAGCAGAGUGUUUAUUUUUUAUUUAUUUUUAUUUUUGGCUUCACAUCUGUGGUCCUUAAAUAUGGCAGAACCUAGUGGCAGGGUAUAGAAGAAAGGUUUCUGGGACUUUCUGAUGGCUUUUUGCCCUGUUACCAAUGAGGGGCUUUCUGGCGACAGGUUCAGAUUGGAAAGGUCUGCAUCCCUGUAUACUGUGGUCUGCACAAGAGCUGGAAAACCAGCACUCUGACUUGUGAACUGCCCCCUCAUUUCAGAGGGAACCCAACUUAGAUAUUCGGUGGGGCCAGCACCCUGACUGCCAUCUCUUCUGCGGCUUGUGUGGGAUGAAGCAAGCGAGUGUUUGGAAGGACAGAGAAGGUGCAGAGGAGAAGGACCAGGACCUACACGUUCCCUGCUCCAAUAAGAGAACAACAACUGGGAUUUUCCUUCCUAAAAGAUUGGCAAGGUCUCGUUGGAGCUAAGCCAGGCAUGCAGGGCAUCCAGAGGAAUUGACUCCUUUAGCCUCUUCCAUCUCAGAGGCCACCUCAGCUCUCAUACCAUCCUGAUGGUUCCUACUCCUGGGUUUUGAUGACUUUACCUUUAAGAUUACCAAACUGAUUUGCUAGGAGUAGCAAUUUGUUAAUCCAGUGUGUUAUAUCUUGGUGGUACAAGACAUGAAAAGUUAAAUAAAAACAAAAUGGAUUAAAUA